UACAGAGGGGGCAAGCGUUGUUCGGAAUUACUGGGCGUAAAGGGCGCGUAGGCGGCCUGUUAAGUCGAACGUGAAAUCCCCGGGCUCAACCCGGGAACUGCGUCCGAAACUGGCAGGCUUGAAUUCGGGAGAGGGAUGCAGAAUUCCAGGUGUAGCGGUGAAAUGCGUAGAUAUCUGGAGGAAUACCGGUGGCGAAGGCGGCAUCCUGGACCGACAUUGACGCUGAGGAGCGAAAGCUAGGGGAGCAAACGGG
rnacentral:rRNA from 1 species